AGCUGGUACAGGAAAAGUCCCAUCUCUUUUCUGGGGUCAACUGGGGUGAAUCAAGGUGGGAAAGUAGGGCAUGGACUGAUCAUAUUCUUGAUCCCUAAGAAACCCCAUUCUAGAAUUGCCUGGAUUAAGGUGUUCCUAACCCAGGAGCCCAGACCCUUUGUCCUUCAUUUGCAGAUACACACUGCCUGGGAUGAACGUGUCCAGAAUAUCCGUCUGGCUCACAAAACUACACUUCUUAGGAUUGGCCUGGAGGUGGCGCCCCUGCUGUUGGUCUGGAGCCACUGGACCCAAGACUCAGGCGGGUCUGGCAGAGAUGAGGUUCUUACCCAGUUGAAGAAGCCCAGAAGGCCAGCAGGGACUGUGAAUUCUUGAAUGGUGGCCUGGGCCGGGAAGGAUAGGAGACCACUCUGUCACUGUCCGGACAAGCUGCGAAGAAUGGCACCAGGUGUGGCUGGAGGCUGGCAGCUGGCUCCUCCAGGACGGUGUUCCCGGUGUCUUUGGAGGACUCAGGAAUGAGGGAACAGAAACCACCAUGAACAGUUGGGAGCCUAAAGACUAUUUCCAGGCAAAGCCUAGAGCUUGAAAUGUGUGUCUCUUCCCAGUUUGUUUCAUUCUUGCCCUUUGGAUUAUUAUUAUUUUUUUUUCUAAUCUUUUCAUUCCCUUCCCUCAGAAUGAGGUAGGUAAUUGAUUUCCUUAUCAAGAUGCCGGGAGAUACAUUUUUCAUGGCUUUCAGAGCGCCCUGCGAAUCUAAAACCAUUGUCUGGCCGCCUCGCUUUCAGCCGCCAUCGUUUUUAUCACCAAGGUAAACCUGCUGGCAUCUGUUUUUUCAAAUUUUAUUCAGAAGCGUUGUCUUUUACCGGUCAAAGAAAUGGUAACAGUCUUCACUUUGUGAUUCCAUUAUCCAAAAAUAAAAGAGGA
rnacentral:lncRNA from 1 species